AUCGUUAACUGAAUACAUAGGUUAACGAGGCGAACCGGGGGAACUGAAACAUCUAAGUACCCCGAGGAAAAGAAAUCAACCGAGAUUCCCCCAGUAGCGGCGAGCGAACGGGGAGCAGCCCGGAGUCUGAAUCAGCUUGUGUGUUAGUGGAAGCGUCUGGAAAGUCCGACGGUACAGGGUGACAGUCCCGUACACCAAAAUGCACAGGCUGUGAACUCGAAGAGUAGGGCGGGACACGUGGUAUCCUGUCUGAAUAUGGGGGGACCAUCCUCCAAGGCUAAAUACUCCUGACUGACCGAUAGUGAACCAGUACCGUGAGGGAAAGGCGAAAAGAACCCCGGCGAGGGGAGUGAAAAAGAACCUGAAACCGUGUACGUACAAGCAGUGGGAGCACCUUCGGGUGUGACUGCGUACCUUUUGUAUAAUGGGUCAGCGACUUAUAUUCUGUAGCAAGGUUAACCGUAUAGGGGAGCCGAAGGGAAACCGAGUCUUAACUGGGCGUUAAGUUGCAGGGUAUAGACCCGAAACCCGGUGAUCUAGCCAUGGGCAGGUUGAAGGUUGGGUAACACUAACUGGAGGACCGAACCGACUAAUGUUGAAAAAUUAGCGGAUGACUUGUGGCUGGGGGUGAAAGGCCAAUCAAACCGGGAGAUAGCUGGUUCUCCCCGAAAGCUAUUUAGGUAGCGCCUCGUGAACUCAUCUUCGGGGGUAGAGCACUGUUUCGGCUAGGGGGCCAUCCCGGCUUACCAACCCGAUGCAAACUACGAAUACCGAAGAAUGUUAUCACGGGAGACACACGGCGGGUGCUAACGUCCGUCGUGAAGAGGGAAACAACCCAGACCGCCAGCUAAGGUCCCAAAGUCAUGGUUAAGUGGGAAACGAUGUGGGAAGGCACAGACAGCCAGGAUGUUGGCUUAGAAGCAGCCAUCAUUUAAAG
rnacentral:rRNA from 1 species